AGGUCAUUUCAAAGAGGGCCAGUGGGACCAAAUCCAGGUGCUCUUAACGCUGUGACAGAAGAUUGAGUCCUCCAUUAGAUACAGUGGUCACUCAGUGGUGCUGUGUUUUCCUGAUGGAGAUACAGAA
ensembl:snoRNA